AUUCAUUGACAGCUCUGGAAAUGCCCACAUGAACCUCAGUCUGUCAGAAGCAGCAUUAAGGUGUGCUGACCUCUGUUUCUCAAGACUUCAUGAGUAUCUUCUGUCCAGCUCACAGGUUUCUUUUGCAAUUUUUGGUCUGAGCUCAGACCCCAAAGCAACUGGCCCAGCAGAUCUUGCCAGUGGCAUCUUCCACUCUGACUGCCCAUGGAGCUUCACACUUCCCUGCAGCUCCACAAUGUCUCUUUUAGCAUUUUCUCAAGAGGUUUUGAAGAAUGUUUCACAAACAACUGGCCUAACAUGCUGAAAAAAAUAUCCAUCUUGUUUAUCCAUGCUCCAAAUUAUUUACCACAACUGGUCUUCCAGUAGAGUUUACACAACGCUUGAACAGUUUAUUCCAUAACUUACAAGUUAUCUUUAGGUAUUCUUAAACAUUCUGUAAAGUUUGCUUUAAUGGAUUAUUAUUUCAUAUAUAAAAAGGUACAUAGAGGGAUGAGAAAGUGUGACCCUCAAAAUCAGGGCCCUUGGUAAAGAGAAGGAAUCUACUGUUUUGCUUCCAGAGCUGGUACUACCUUUCUGCUCCAAAACACACACUGUGCGUUAGAGCACGAGCACGUGGGGUUUGCAUCCACUGGAAGUGUCACAAACUGGGGUCAAUAGAGAUCUGGUUCCUUUGAAGUCAACUUUGCAUGUGUUUGAGCUUAAGCCAAACGGAUUGCCACGCAGUAGGCAGACAAGCCUUAUGAAGAGCCUUAUGUCCUUCUCCACAGUUCAUCAAAUCAGCAGCAGUUAACCCAGUACAUCAAGAUUUUCUCAAGUCAAUCCCUUAAUUUAAUCUCAAACCUGCAAGAGCUGACCAUAUCUAAGAAUGCAAGUAUCUAAGAGAGUUCAUCUUACAUGUGGGGAAUAUAAUAUUGGAUCCAGCUGGAGGCAGCAUGAGCAAACACCACACAGCUCCCAGAACACAGUGUUCAGCCCACUUCUAAAUUACCUGGUUGUGUUGCACUUAUCUGGCUUCAGCUGACUGCAAAUUCUAGUCGUUGAUCUGCUGUAACGUGAAGGCUUUAUACUGACUCUAAGUCUUUUGAUAUUGGAAAAGGAGAUGAACAGAUUAGCUGCAAAUAAGAUACAGAACAAGAUAAACUCUUUCAGGAAAAUCACUUCCAUGUCAAAGAAAAAUUAAAAGCCCAACAAGCAGGCCAAGCAAAAUGAAGUGAGAAUCGCUGAUCCUAGCAUUAAAAAAGAAGCCUUUGGUAAAGUACAGAGGGUCUUGCAACCUUGAGUCAACCAAUAGUUGACUAAAAUGACAAGUGAUUUUGACCAUCUCUGAUGAGCUGUUUUCAUACGUAGGGAAGCUUGAGUUUUAGAGGUGCUUUCCCAUCCUUUUCAGAAAAAUUAUCUCUUGAACGUAUCAGGUGAUAAAAUUGUCACAUUGACAAAAACGAAAGUUUUUGGUGUAGAAUCUGUAACUAUUUAAAUAAAUAAUAUUACAAUUAAUUUUUUUUUUAAUAAAAACAACCUUACAACAAACCUUGCUCUUUUAGAUAGUGUUUACUCUACACAGAUUUGACUGACGUAUUAGAAUUUGAUUGAUGGUCCAGAAAUGCUCACCAUAUGUCCCUUCUCUGUAUUCCAGGAGACUGGAUAAAUAUACAAUGCUUUCUUGAAAUGAAAGAAGAUUUUAUGUGAGUCAUGUAAAUAAAAUAUGGUACUUUGUGAAUAAAAGAGAUUUUAUCCCCGUAGAUAUUCUCAUCUUUAAAAGCACGAUAUCUUUCCAUUUAAGUAGAGACAUAUAGGACAAUUUGUUCAAUUUCAGCCACAUUUGUCUUUAGAUUCUUAUGAAAAAAUGGCUUUUUCCUUGCCUGAGAAUGUUUUUGUCUUCCUUUUUCUUACUUUAGUUCAGAAUGAGCUUCAUGAUGUAAAUUGUAUUAACAAUUUGAAGUCACUGUAAAGAACAACAACAAAAGUGUUUUGUCUUACUGCAGUAGCAGUGUGAGAGUUUAGAUACUGUCAGGAGUACACAGGGACUCUGAAGGGUGUAAGGUCAUUAGUUAGGUUUUUUUAAAUCCAUUCUCUCUUCAUUUCAAAUGACCACUGGAAUGUCAUGAGCAUUUGUAAAUCACUGCUUUUGCCUUCAAGGUAUGUUGAAUCUUUGUUGUGGAGAAUGACCAUAAUGCUUUAAAAUCUAACUGACCAUCAACAUUUCCAGAUGUGCAAAGAGGACUUGAUUUCUUUCUCAAAGCUGCUUUUCAACACGCAGCCAAGCCAGCAAUGCAGUUCAGAACAUAUGGAAAAGGCACCAAGCGUCUGACCUUCUGCUGGAAGAGAUCUUUACUUGAGAUUUGUCCAGUGUGUAUCUUACAUAGAAACUAGUGCUAAGUAUACAAAGCAAAACCACAUUUUUGGCUUUAGUGAAACAAAUUGCAGCCCCUGACACUCCAAAAGAAUGCAGGCUACAGAAAAAGGAAGAAAAAAGAUUUAACACAUCCAAAGUAAAAGAAAUCCAACAUGCUUAAAUCCAAACCCUCCCAAAUACCGUAUUUAAGUGAAAAUAUCAUGGGAAUAAUUUCCUUUGAUAGACAUAGUAUUUCUGCCCAAAAGAUCCCGUGCACCUCUCUUUCUGCAUGUACUCUACAUCUGCAGUAAUAUUGAUUUUCAUGAUUUUUAGUUAUUGUUGAUUCUUUAAUAGAAAACUGAAGUGAAUAAUACUAUUUAUUUUUGAGAAGAGAAAUUGCUCAUACGAAUUAAAUAAUUCAUGUAAA